CGGAUGUAGCCAAGUGGAUCAAGGCAGUGGAUUGUGAAUCCACCAUGCGCGAUUG
rnacentral:tRNA from 1 species